rnacentral:lncRNA from 1 species
AAGCACUKYUCCUUCAGUUCAGAGUGAAACGUAACUCAACCGUAGAGCAUUGAGAAGCCGGUGUUUCUGAGACUACAAGAAGGUCCACUAUACAGUAAGAAUGAGAAAAAGGACCAGGAAGAAGUCAUAAUGGUACUAUGGUGUCUCUAUGUCAUCCUGCUCCUCCCCCUACUAACCUGCUCCAGCCAACCACAGUCCUUUAAAAUGCAUCCCCCUGGCAAGCUGACCGUCAUCAAUGCCUCAAUCCGCC